UGUGCCACAGCUACUGGGAGCUGCAGUUGUACUGGCUGUGCAGGAAAAAACCCAUCUAGGUCAGGACUCACUGGAAGAGUUGUUAGGCCGGUAUUUCUACAUCUUGCAUUUGUCAGCUCUUGCCAAAACGGUGACCCAGCCGUGUGUUACCUGCCGACAGCAUGAUGGGAGUCAAGGUCCAGCCGUUCCGCCUGGCAUAUGAGCUUAUGGAGCAGCCCCCUUUGAAGAUAUCCAGGUAGACUUCACAGAGAUGCCAAAGUGUGGAGAUCUUAUUCCCAGAUUUGGACUGCCCUUAUGGAUCGGCUGAGAUAACGGGCCUGCAUUUGUGGCUGACUUGGUACAGAAGACGGCAAAGGUAUUGCGGAUCACACGGAAACUGCAUGCUGCCUACUGGCCUCAGAGUUCUGGAAAGUUGGAGCGGAUUAAUCGGACUAUCAAAAAUAGCAUUAUUGUCUUCUCCGCUGGUUAUUAAAAACAAUAACACAAGGGGCGUCAAACCACCUGCCCAAUUAGAGGG